GGAGGUGUCAGGGAGCUGGUGGUCCCCGCGGUCUUCAAAACCGACGUGGCCGAUUCUGUCGGCCAGGCGGGUUCGAUUCCCGUCCGCCUCCGC
rnacentral:tRNA from 1 species